AAGUCCCAUUCGCUCAGUGAAACCAUGGCCCUGGGGCCAAGGCAGGGCCGAUUUUCCUUGUAUUUACAAAAUCCCUUCUCUGGAAUCUGAAAUGAGUGUAUCAGGUGAGACUGAGGGGGUGUGUUUUUUCUCUCUUUCUCCUCUAGGACAUCAGAAGCAUCUUGAGCAGAGCUGAUCUCUCCAGGCCAGAGGUGAAGAAUAUUAAUGGGACCUUCAGCAGGAAGGUUUCACUGCCAUGGCCUGUGCUGCACCUGCUCUGAGGCUGGGAGAAGUAGAGCAAUUCUAAUUCCAGGCCCAUUAAAGCAGUGACUCACCAGCAAGAACUAAUAAUGAGUCAGUAAAUGAAAUAGAAGAAAGUGAAAUUAUUUGUCUCCAGGUGUGAGAUGGGGAAGUUCCAGCAGCCAGUGGAGAUUUUUCCUGAAGUGGAAAAGAGACUCGGCAAUGUCUCCAAGAGAACUAUUGCUCUAAUGGAGACUCUGAGGAAAUUCAAAGACACUCUGCCGUCUGAACUGGAGACAAAAAGAGGGGGAUCCCUAGUGAAUGUGACUCUGGAUCCAGACAUGGGUCAUCCUGAACUCGCCCUGUCUGAGGAUCGGAAAAGUGUGAGAUGGGGACACACAUGGCAGGAUCUGCCCAACAAUCCUGAGAGAUUUGACACUGAGCUCUAUGUGCUGGGGUGUGAGGGAUUCACCUCGGGGAGACAUUGCUGGGAGGUGGAGGUGGGGGAUGGGCAAUACUGGGCUGUGGGGGUGGCCAGAGAGUCUGUG